UGACCUCGGAUCAGGUAGGAAUACCCGCUGAACUUAAGCAUAUCAUAGCGG
rnacentral:rRNA from 1 species